rnacentral:rRNA from 1 species
UGGUGAGGUAACGGCUCACCAAGGCGACGAUGCGUAGCCGACCUGAGAGGGUGAUCGGCCACAUUGGAACUGAGACACGGUCCAGACUCCUACGGGAGGCAGCAGUGGGGAAUAUUGCACAAUGGGCGAAAGCCUGAUGCAGCAACGCCGCGUGAGUGAUGAAGGCCUUCGGGUCGUAAAGCUCCUUGAUCAGGGAUGAUAAUGACAGUACCUGAAAAACAAGCCACGGCUAACUACGUGCCAGCAGCCGCGGUAAUACGUAGGUGGCGAGCGUUGUCCGGAAUUACUGGCGUAAAGGAUGCGUAGGUGGAUACUUAAGUGGGAUGUGAAAUCCCCGGGCUCAACCCGGGAACUGCAUUCCAAACUGGGUAUCUAGAGUGCAGGAGAGGAAAGCGGAAUUCCUAGUGUAGCGGUGUAAUGCGUAGAUAUUAGGAGGAACACCAGUGGCGAAGGCGGCUUUCUGGACUGUAACUGACACUGAGGCAUGAAAGCGUGGGUAGCAAACAGGAUUAGAU